AUUGGGGAAGCCGAAAACCAUAUAGAGUAGGCA
rfam:Capnocytophaga sp. oral taxon 332 str. F0381 genomic scaffold Scfld1235, whole genome shotgun sequence.